UACGUAGGGUGCAAGCGUUGUCCGGAUUUAUUGGGCGUAAAGAGCUCGUAGGUGGUGAGUUAAGUCUGAUGUGAAAUCCCCGGGCUCAACCUGGGAAUGGCAUUGGAUACUGGCUCGCUCGAGUGCGGUAGAGGGUGGUGGAAUUCCCGGUGUAGCAGUGAAAUGCGUAGAGAUCGGGAGGAACAUCUGUGGCGAAGGCGGCCACCUGGACCAGCACUGACACUGAGGCACGAAAGCGUGGGGAGCAAACAGG
rnacentral:rRNA from 1 species